UGCACACUGUCUGAGACAUGUCUCAGACACUAAGCACAAAAUAACUUGGAACAACCCGACAAAAAUGAUUGGUAAAUGAGGGCUAUUGUCUCUGGCCACAUGGAAUGCUGGGAGACAAUAGUGAAAUAAAAAGACUUGUACUACAGCACUUUCAGUUUUGUUUGCUGUAACGUUGAAAAUAUGAAAAAGAGACUUGGCAUCAUGGUCGCGUGAAAUGACCAGCAUAGCCUCUGAGCGGUUCGCAGUGCGAGGGUGCUCUCAUCAUACAAGAAUCCAAAAUGACAGAGAACAAAUAGGUCAUGCUUAGAAGAAGAAUAUGCUUGCUACAGUACUGUAUAUUCCAAUUUUACUCCUUUAUUUCCUAUUGAAGCUCCUAUUUUCUCUUAUUUUAUUUAUCUGGCAAA